rnacentral:tRNA from 1 species
GGGGGUCUAGCUCAAAUGGUAGAGCGCUCGCUUAGCAUGCGAGAGGUACUGGGAUCAAUGCCCAGGUCCUCCA